CCUACGGGAGGCUGCAGUAGGGAAUCUUCCACAAUGGGCGAAAGCCUGAUGGAGCAACGCCGCGUGGGUGAAGAAGGUCUUCGGAUCGUAAAACCCUGUUGUUAGAGAAGAAAGUGCGUGAGAGUAACUGUUCACGUUUCGACGGUAUCUAACCAGAAAGCGACGGCUAACUACGUGCCAGCAGCCGCGGUAAUACGUAGGUGGCAAGCGUUAUCCGGAUUUAUUGGGCGUAAAGGGGGUGUAGGCGGCUCUUUAAGUUAUAUGUGAAAUCCCGCGGGUCAACCGUGGAAGUGCAUAGAAAACUGGGGAGCUGGAGUGCAGGAGAGGUGAGUGGAAUUCCUAGUGUAGCGGUGGAAUGCGUAGAUAUUAGGAAGAACACCGGUGGCGAAGGCGGCUCACUGGACUGUAACUGACGCUGAGGCUCGAAAGCGUGGGGAGCAAACAGGAUUAGAUACCCGAGUAGUC
rnacentral:rRNA from 1 species